rnacentral:lncRNA from 1 species
AAUUUUAUACUUAAUAUAUUAAUAUGAUCAGUAAAAGGGUAAGUUUAUUUUUCAUUCAAGUGUGAUGUAUCCUUGAAUCAUCUAUGAAAUUAGUUUUCGAUAUAUAUUCUCAAGGUGUUAAGAAUUAGAGACAUGUAUUUAAUUCCUAAAUACUCUUAGUCAUAGGAUCAUCAUGAGGAUGAUGAUCGAUCCGGAUAGACUAAUGCAC